CCGCGCUAGACGGGGGACUGGCGGUACCCUGCACCGGCAAUCCGCCUUAGCCGGGUCGAAUUCCCCCUCCGAGGUACGGCCCUUCGGGUCCGUCCGUGAUGAACAGCGUUGAAGGCCGGGACCUGCGCAGCUCGGGUCUCCGAACCCCGUCAGGUCCGGAAGGAAGCAGCGGUAAGGAGGAAACCUGAGGGUGCCGCAGCCAUCCGGGCUGGAGCUGCGACCCACGGCCACGCCGGGGGCGCCGCUGUCGACGAGGGGGUGCGCGG
rnacentral:SRP_RNA from 1 species